UCGCUCUUCAACGAGGAAUCCCUAGUAAGCACAAGUCAUCAGCUUGUGCUGAUUACGUCCCUGCCCUUUGUACACACCGCCCGUCGCUACUACCGAUUGAAUGGCUUAGUGAGACCUUUGGAUCGUUAGUUUAGAACUGUAAAAGGUUUUUUUCCGAUGAGAAGUUGGUCAAACUUGGUCAUUUAGAGGAAGUAAAAGUCGUAACAAGGUUUCCGUAGGUGAACCUGCGGAAGGAUCAUUACAAAUUAUGGCGAACUUCGCGUCUAGCGAGGUUUUGCGUCCAAACUUUAUUUAAAACAUCCCACUCUUUAAAAAAAAAUUAUCUAAUGAUAAAUAAAAAGAUCACUUUCAACAACGGAUCUCUUGGUUCUCGCAUCGAUGAAGAACGUAGCGAAGUGCGAUAUGUAAUGUGAAUUGCAGAAUUCCGUGAAUCAUCGAAUUUUUGAACGCAAAUUGCACUCUCUUCGGAGAGUAUGCCUGUUUGAGGGUCAGCCUAAAAAAAAUCGACAUAGUUGCUGUUUCGCGGUGACAAUCGUCGGAAAUUGGGUCAUCUUAAACCUUUUGUUGGGUUUAAGCGGCUUAAAAUUUUAUUUACGAUUUCACGAACGUUUUUAAGAUUUUAUUUUCUUAUACGUUUAUGUAUCAAUCUUUACUAGACGUGGCCGUUGCAUCGGAUCACGUCCAUAAAUAUUUCGUUAACUGACCUCAUACAGGUAAGAACACCCGCUGAACUGAAGGGGGAAAAGCUCAAAUUUUAAAUCGGCGUAGGUUUUGCCUAGUCGAGUUGUAAUUUGAAGAAGCGUUUACCGCGUCCUGGUCGACCCAAAUCCUUUGGGAUAAGGUAUCAUGGAGGGUGAGAAUCCCGUCCGGUUGACCUCAGGAUGCUUUACGUUACGCUCUCUAAGAGUCGAGUUGUUUGGGAUUGCAGCUCAAAAUGGGAGGUGAAUUUCUCCUAAGGCUAAAUACAGGCGAGAGACCGAUAGCGAACAAGUACCGUGAGGGAAAGAUGAAAAGAACUUUGAAAAGAGAGUCAAACAGUACGUGAAAUUGUUGAAAGGGAAACGAUUGAAGCCAGUCGUACCGUCGGGAAUUCAACUUUUUAAGUGCUUGUCGUGUGUGAUGUAGAGCCUCACGGCCUUCGUUGCUUUGCGUUAUGGUGCUUUUAGGGUGUACUUUUCCGUAUGGUAGGUCAAUAUCGAUUUUGAUCGUCAUAGAAUGAUCGGAGGAAUGUGGCUUCGAUCUCGUAUCGGAGUGUUAUAGCCUUUGGUAGAUGUGACGACUGGGAUCGAGGAUUGCAACGAAUACCCUUUGGGCUAUCCGUCUGACCUCUGAAAGUCGCUCGGGUGUCGAAAGCGUGCUUAUGACAUUCUAGUUGGCGGUCAAAAGGUUAGAACGCGAUUACAUUCGUUAAGGAUGUUGACGUAAUGGCUUUAAACGACCCGUCUUGAAACACGGACCAAGGAGUCUAACAUGUGUGCGAGUGUU
rnacentral:sRNA from 1 species